rnacentral:rRNA from 1 species
UGGGGAAUAUUGGACAAUGGGCGCAAGCCUGAUCCAGCCAUGCCGCGUGAGUGAUGAAGGCCCUAGGGUUGUAAAGCUCUUUCACCGGUGAAGAUAAUGACGGUAACCGGAGAAGAAGCCCCGGCUAACUUCGUGCCAGAAGCCGCGGUAAUACGAAGGGGGCUAGCGUUGUUCGGAUUUACUGGGCGUAAAGCGCACGUAGGCGGACUAUUAAGUCAGGGGUGAAAUCCCGGGGCUCAACCCCGGAACUGCCUUUGAUACUGGUAGUCUUGAGUUCGAGAGAGGUGAGUGGAAUUCCGAGUGUAGAGGUGAAAUUCGUAGAUAUUCGGAGGAACACCAGUGGCGAAGGCGGCUCACUGGCUCGAUACUGACGCUGAGGUGCGAAAGCGUGGGGAGCAAACAGG